rnacentral:rRNA from 1 species
UACAGAGGUCCCAAGCGUUGUUCGGAAUUACUGGGCGUAAAGGGCUCGUAGGCGGCCAACUAAGUCAGACGUGAAAUCCCUCGGCUUAACCGGGGAACUGCAUCUGAUACUGGAUGGCUUGAGUUCGGGAGAGGGAUGCGGAAUUCCAGGUGUAGCAAUGAAAUGCGUAGAUAUCAAGUGGAACACCAGUGGCGAAGGCGAGUCUCUGGACAUUUCCUGACGCUGAGGCACGAAAGCCAGGGGAGCAAACGGG